GUGUCCUGUGAUGCUGGUGGUAGGAGACCAAGCACCUCAUGAAGAUGCAGUGGUUAGUAGGGAAUUUUGGGGUGAGUGAGGGAGGAGGGUUGGGGUCCUAGAGUGGUGGCCAGAAGAGUAUCUUGCCAAGGGGAUGUCCUGUUUGGCACAGGGAGAUCAACUUUGGGGCACUAAGAAUUUGAUUCCUGGUAAGGAGGAACUGGGUAGGGAGCUGAUAGAAAAGGGACUGGGGUCUGGGUUCCUGGGUCCCUUAUGGGGGACGGGCCACAGUGGGCAUGACCUUAUUCAUUCAGCCUCCUGCUUACUCCAGGUGGAAUGUAACUCAAAACUGGACCCCACCCAGACCUCGUUCCUCAAGGUCAGUAACCUGUUCCUGGGCCCCUGUCCACAGUCUUAUAUCCUCUCUAGAUGCAGCUGCUAAGCCUCCAGGGCCCUGCAUGGGAGCAAAUGGGGUGAACGAAGAACAAAACAAAGGGGCUAGGGUGAAGAAGCUAGGGAAGAGAAACCCUUUCCACCUCUCCACAUGGCUCAUUUAUGUAUGUUUCACUUUUUCUGGGUGGUGCUCUCCUGAACAGAUGGCUGACUCCGGAGGUCAGCCCCAGCUGACUCAGCCAGGCAAACUGACCGAGGCCUUCAAGUACUUCCUGCAAGGCAUGGGCUACAUGGCCUCAUCCUGCAUGACUCGCCUGUCCCGGUCUCGUACAGCCUCUCUGACCAGUGCAGCAUCCGUUGAUGGCAACCGGUCCCGCUCUCGCACCCUGUCCCAGAGCAGCGAGUCUGGAACUCUUUCUUCGGGGCCCCCGGGGCACACCAUGGAGGUCUCCUGUUGAAUGACCCUUGUUGCCCUAGUGCGGGACCCAGCCCUCACCUCCCCCAGAACUAACCUGGGAGGUGCUGAAGGGACAUUGGGCCACAGUAAGCAAGGGAAAAAGGGCAGAUCAUGUGGGGAGAUGACCUUGAUCUUUGAUUGCUACCCUAACCUUGACCUUUAACCUGUGAUUCCCCCCAGCUCCUGGAAGAGAUGUCCUAAUAUCUCUUAGGGACCCAGACCCCUAAAUUCUCCUCCUCCCCCAUUUUGGUGUUAAGGUGGAGAGGGCAUAUGCAUCCUCUGUCCUGAUCUAGGUGUCUAUAGCUGAGGGGUAAGAGGUUGUUGUAGUUGUCCUGGUGCCUCCAUCAGACUCUCCCUACUUAUCCCGUAUUUGCAAGGGGAGGGGAUUUGGGGCUGGGGCUCCAUUCACCAAAGCUGAUAUGGCUUCUUAAUAACCCUUUAGGACUCUGAAGGGUAUGGACCUAUGUGAAUGUGUGUCAGGGGGAGACUUGCUGGUGGGUUAGUGGUCCUCAGGAUGUGAUAGAAACAUCCAGUGUAAAAAGGAAGUUGGAAUGGGAGUUGGCGGGCAAUGAACGAGUGUCGGGGAAGGAUUGGUGCUGGGGCAACAGGAAGGGGCCUGGGGCCAUUCGGCUGCACUAACUUUGGUAGCUCUCAGUGUGCAUCUAGAGUGGGACUGGGGAGGGAGCUAAGCUUGGGCUGGGCUGCUUGGGGCUUGGCAUAGGGGUGGAAAGGGCUACCCUGGGGCUCUGACCACACUGUAUUA
rnacentral:sRNA from 1 species